rnacentral:piRNA from 1 species
UACAGAUGUGUGUCCUCAUCCCUGA